rnacentral:lncRNA from 1 species
CCGUCGCUCGAGAUGCGCGGAUGCGUAGCCUACCGCAAUGUUCGAGUUGGUGAUGCUCUCCCUCCACUACUUUCUGUUCUUUUCUCUCUUUCCAUCUUUCUUCUCCCUCGCCUUUUUCUCCUUUUUUACCACCUCUUUACCUCUAUCUCGCUCGCUUCGAGUUUUUUCUUUGCCCUUCGAGUAGAGCUUCGUACUUCUUUCUUUCUUUCUCGCACUUUGCCUUGUUCCGAUGGUUUCGCGAGAGGGAAAGCUAUAUUUUCCGUCUAUUGGGAUAGGACACACGAAGCAGUCUGCAAGCGGCGUUCUCAUGACAUUAACCUUCGUUCGUCGUCGACGUUAGAAACAGCGGGCGGUAACGUGAAAUAUAGGUUGUUUUAACGGGAGUUUUUUCCAGACUAACUUGACGGAUCAGGAGGAAAGAGAACACGUUUUCUCGAUCGUUCCUUCGAGAAUUCGUUCGCAAUAGAAACAACUCUGUCGUCGGGUAAGCGAGACGAGCAAAUUGCUACACAUGUAUAUACACGCAUUCCUACCAACCGUUUCCCUCUAAUCCCUGACAUUGUCUUCUCGAGGAUGAAUUCAACAAGCAACAGCAGGUCUUUGCAACGUAUAGGAAGACUGGGGCGAACAGAAAACGAGACUGGAACGAUUGCGUAUGCAUGGUACAAUAGGUGAACGUGCGUACGAGUUCGUGGCGGAAAGGAACUUCCAAUUCGACGUCUCGUUGCAGCCGGUAAACACAGGUGCAACGAAAACGUCGGAAGUGUUUUUGCAACGGGGCAUACAGAGUGAACCUUGAGAGUGACCGAUUUCGUAAUCCCUUCGCGGCUCGCUUCUCUGGCGUGGUUUCCAUUGUAAUGCUAGUUAAAAAACGAUCUUCGAGAUCGUGUUUGUUGAGGUUAGGUGAGCUUCGAAUUAACACGUAAAUCGUUUCUUACGAUCAAACUGCAUCUGUUUUCCUUUUUCUCGUGAUUCUUGUGUUCUUUUUAAAAGGUAUGAAUAAAUAUUUUCCAUUUUUUUUUUUGAAAUCCGUCAUAUCAGUAUCGUUACAGCGUUUCAUUUUUCAACGAUGUUUAACCUCUUUAACGUUCGUCUACUUGCGUAGUAGGUAUCUAUCUACUAUUCAAAGAGUGAGUGAGUGUGUGUUCGGGAUGUUAUCCUGCCAGGAAGAUUUCAAGAUUUCAUUCUGGAAACGUAACGAGUUGCGGACGAAGGGCUUGUUCAUCAGCUAGAGAUUCUCGAUCCCUUUUCUGAUAAGAGGAAACGGGGUUGACCUUAAUUGCAUUUCCUGCCAUCGAACCUGCGAUUCCAUUGUUGCCGAAAAGCGUUUUUCGCAGACUUCACACGCCACGAUCAACGAUUCCACGGAACAAGGCAAUAAAGAAGCCAUUUUCGAGAAAAUGGUUUUCGAAGACGAUCGAUCGACGAGUUAUCAUUACGAACGUGUCUACGAUGAUUCAUUAAUUACAGAUAACUUUCGGGGAAAAAAGUCUCGCUCGAAUUACGUUAAUCCUGUGUCAAAAGGAACACCGAAAGCAGAAAAAGGGAGGAGGAAGAAAAAGGAAGAGGAGUAGAAGAAGAAGAGGAGGAGUAGGGGGAGCGGCAUUAGGAGGAGGAAACGGAGGGUAGACGAGGAGGACUCGCACGAAGACGAAGAAGAAGAAGAAGAAUCCCCCUUGGCUCACGUCCGCGAGAACCGGAAAGAUUCCCUCGAUCCGCUACGAACGGCUUCCAAGGGGAAAUGAAACAUCACGAUUGAAAUCUCCAUCGAGAUUCGCGUGUAUUUUCUCGUUAAGGAAAAUGUUGAAGACAGAUCUCCAAAUCAUCCGUAUCCGUAUGAGCACAUGUUUCUUCGAAAAAAUCGUAUCAAAGGCAAAUCGUAGGAAACUGGCAAGAGAUGCUACGUAUUCCUUUUGUAUUUUCCAAUUCAAACGGAAUGUACACGUAUCGUAUUACCUGGUAAGCCGUUGUCGAACGAACAAUGACGAAAUAAUGGUGCACAAAGAAGAAAACCGAAAUUGAUACAUACGUGUAUAUAUAUAUAUAUAUACACGUAUUACAUGCCAGUUUCCAUUGACACCGAGAUUCCCCUCCUCGAUCGGCGUGGACCGGGCUUAAGAGAGGACCGACACACGACUCUUGUGUGCAAGCGACCAAGGAAACAAGAGGGAGACGGACGGAGGACGAAGAGGAAUGGACGUGGCUAGAUCGUGCGCGAGAGAAGCAACUACCGAGAACACCGACACCUUCCGCGAGUCUUAUUUUUCACAUCCUGCCUCCUCACCGGCGACCUAUUUUUAAGCCGAUGCCCCCUCCACCUCUCCCCCCCCCUCUCUCUCCUCCGCGGGGGAAAAAAACCCUUGGGAAAACGGACCGGACGGGGAACACCUCAACCUACCUCCUCAACCCUACCGGAUCUUUCGAACGCGUAUAGGUUUCUUCUCCGCUAUCUCUUCCCUCCCCUCCCCGCCCCAGCUAGCUCCUCGCUCGCUUAGUUAGCCAGUUAUCGUCCGCUAAAAUGAUCCUAAGGAAUUCGCCACUCCCUCUACCACCGUUUCCGUUUUUGCGAGUGUGACAGAAUGAUGAUAUGACGGGGAGAAACGAUUUUUGUCACAAGUGGAAUAAAAUGGAUUGUAAUUUGUGACGUUUGUUUUUUAGGUGUGUAUGUGUAUAUGAUGAAGAGAGUUUGAGAAAUGAUUCUUUGAAAUGGAUUGGAUUGUCUCUUGUUGAAAGUUGAAGAUUUGAAUUUGAUUGGAACAAUUAUUGCUUUGAAUGAAUGCAUGUUCAACCAAUCACGUUGUCCAAUUAUUCUACAUAACCAAGCUAUAUAACCUAUAACCCGAAGAAUCAGCCUUUCUGGAAAAUGGUUAAAAAAAAAAGAAACGAAGCCACGAUUCGAUUAAAUAGCGAGGGGGUUAAGAGGCGCCAACCGGUAACCGAGGGGAGUCGGUGACUCCUCGCGGCGAUUCCUAGGUAUCCUUGAAAUCGUAUCUCCUGCUCGCAUCCUCGCCGCGUUUGCAUGCCUGCCCGCUCCAACCAUUGACGUCACAACGCGGAGUGCAACGGCGCGGCGAGGCCCGACGAACGUCCGACGAAUUUCAAUCUCUCCCGGAACGAUUUCGAACACGUCGCGCAUUUCCAAGCGGAUAGCAACGAUGCGCGGGGCAACGAAAGAGGAGAACAGCCGGUGGCCCCAGGCGAGGGAAGGGAGGAGGGCUCCUCCUCCUCCUCUUUUUUCGUUCGAGCAAAAAUACGCUUCAUUUGUGUCACGGCACGCUGCGUCAUCCGAGCGCGGUUAAAAGUGACUCAGGUUUUAUUUCCUGCUUCGAGUUCUAGUUACUUACUACGACAGAUAGCGCGAAUCGAUAACACUUAUCCUCUGCACGGGUCGAAACAAACCCUGGAAGAACGUUCAACCGAGGCUUGCAACACGCGGCUCUAUCGCUUCAUCGAGUUCUUGGGCCGAUCAUCGGUCUUUUCUCUUCCACGAAUGGGAGGGCAUCGUUUUUGACAGCUCCCUAUGUAAUUUUAAGCGAAUUAAAUUUUCGAUUAAGAGAUUAGAGAAGUUAGAAUUUGAUUUUGGAGAUUUUUUUAUAAGAGAAUAUGUAAUUUAUUUAUACUUCAUCAUGAUAACAUUGAUUUGUAUCUAUGUACAGAGUAGAAUAGAAAAGACAAGGUUAACUGUGUGAGGAUUAACAAUUAAUCCCAAACAAUUAUAUGUAUGAAGGUACUAAAUAUAUCUGCAACUUUAUUAUUUGUUUUUGACACCGAUCUCUAUGUAUUUUAAGAAUUAUGAUAUCAAAGUGUCAAAAUAUGUGAAGAGAUAAAUCACGUUUAUUUUUUAUUGCUACUUUAUAAACGUAAACAUAAAGAUUUUGACACUAGAGAUAUCUAUCGCGGAAAAUACUUAUAUUUUAAAGUAGUAAUUGAAUUCUAAAAGCUACGACUUCAAGAGAGAAAAAUUAUUGAACGAGAUUCGAUUGACCGUGCGCGAUAAAUUCUACUGUUAAGGGAACGAUCUGGUAUCGUAAUCUGAAAAGAGACGAUUGUUUUUGUCUGUUUUUCGAGGUUGAAAUCGAGAGGAAAAUCCACGAAGCAAUAUUCUCGCGGCAUUUCGAGCUACAAUGUAUUAUCGCCUCGAUUCGCGACGAUGUUUGUUCGUCGAUGUUUCCCUCGUUGGUUGAAAAACUGUGGCGAUAAAGUUGCGCCGGUAAUUCGAAGAUAAACAUCGCGACGAGAGUCGUGCUUACGUAAUAAAAACUCGCGUGUUUGUUUAUUGAUUGCAUUUUUUCUUUUUUUUUGAAAAUAUGAGAUCGAUCUCCGAUGAAAACUUCGAUGAAAGUGAAAUUCACUUUUGAGAAAUUUAUACGAAAAAACAAAGUCGAGGGAACACUCUUAAAAAUCUUUCGAUUUAAAUUUCGCGCGAAAAAAAGAAGGAAUUUUUAAUCGAUAUAUUUACGAAUGACACACAGAUCGAAUAAAUUAAUACAUCACUGCGUAAUUAAAUAUCCGCCAUUACUGUUCGUUGAUCAAUCGAGAUUGAAAAGAUCUCGAUAUGAAUUAUCGAGAGUAAUAUCGAGAGUCUUCGAGAGAUCGAACUCGAGUAAAAUUACUCAUGGAGUCAAAUCAACUCCUAUUUUCCCAAUUGUUAAAAAUAUUUUAUACAUUAAAACGCGUUUUAAAAUAUAUCUAAAUUUCAGAUUACUAAUUCCAUGUGCAAAUAUCACUCGUUUCGAGAAAAAAAAUCUCCUUUACGUCAAGCAUCGGAAAAAAAAAGUAUUCCAAACAAGUGCAUCGUGAAACGAGGCGAGCAGUGGUCGCCAUGAUAGGUCCGAAGUGGCACACGACACAUUUGACGGGCCGAUCUUGACGUGGAAAUAAGCAGAUACCUAUUCAAACGUGGUGUGUAAAUCGAAAGUGAUUCGAUCGAGAUCACCGACUACCGUAUGCAUAGACGCAUCUACACGCACAUCUAAAUCCCGUGUACGCGAUACACACACACACGCGAGUCUGUUUAAGGAGAUAGUAGUGGCAAGCGUGCAGGUAGGCGCUCGCACGAGACGACGUUUCGGGUCGGGAAACGAAUCGCUCGCGCGCGUGAUCCUCCGUUUCCAUUAGUGCACGCACGUGCAACACAACUCGCUACGUGUUACUUACAUACGUGUGCACACGCGGGCAAGCGAGCGAGCGAGCGAGCGAGCAGUUCGUUCGCCACGCUAGCCCUGGCCUAGAUAAGCUACUUGGCUUUGCAUCGUUGCAUCGCUUUAAGCCCGACUCACGCGCCACCGAUCUAUCGCCGUCCUUUUCCCGCCAUUCGUUACGUCGUGCGUCCAUGCUUCUCCCUCUGGCAUUAUCUCUAACAUUAACAUAAGACGGGAGUGUACGAGUGUCUGGGCUGCUGCUGAUAUUCAUCAUCGCGGGAGCCUACGUGGACCGUGAAACAGCGGAAGUCUGCGAAGGAUCGCGGCGGACGCGUAGGUAUGCUAAAAGCGGAUUACGCCGGUAACAUGCAGGAUUUUCUUUUCAUCGCCUGGCCAUCGUUUUAAUCGCGAUAUGAAUUUAUUACGAAAAUAGGGGAUAUAAAUGGCUAUAUCCCCACCGGGGAUAAAUUCUGUUGAGAACGACGCUAAUAGCUUGCCAUCUCUUAUCCACGGUUAUUCCAUUAAACAAACAAGCGGAUAAUUUGACAUGCGGAUUCGAUGCGCGUUUAGCUGCGAGAUAGCUUUUACCGACCGAGCCCGACUACUACGCGAUCCGUUCGUUUCACCCAGCCGCGUGGUAUAAAAGUGUAAAAGGGCGCAACUCCACCGAGACCGAGCCAUAAGUACAAUUCUAUAUAAAUUCCAACAUCUUUUGUUUGCAAUCUUUUAAUCAAUUCGUACUCGAAUAAUUUAAACGUAAUUUAAACUAUCGGAUUUAUUCGGACGUUGAGCGUUUUUGGAUAUAAAAUUCUUCAAUAUUAUCAAUUUGUCUAGAAAAAAAGAAAAUUCUCCAACGAUAUUAAUUUCCAUUAAUUCUACCAUUAUUUCGAAAUAAACCUGUCGAACAAUUUAUAUCCAAUUUGGUUUAAACGAAAUAGAGAAGAGAGGAUCUUAUCUCGGGGAAGGCGAUAUCUAAUCUGCAACCUUAGCCUUACCAGCCGAUACCCGCAUCGGUUUCCUUUUGUUUUGACGGGGUAAUUAAGAAAACUUUCCGUUUCCUCCUCCUGCGAGCAGCAGCAGGCCUCGAUAAUCGGUAUCGAAAAACGAGAGAACGAGUUCUUAGGGGGAGGCCCCAACAGUUUGAGAGAAACAUUUCGCGCGUUCCUUCGAUACAUCCUGCGAUAUAUAUAUACCGCUUCCGUUCCGAUAAUUCCCUCGAGAGGAACGGUUUGCAUUGGUGGUUGAAAAACGGACUUGAUAAAGCGUCAUACAUUAAAUUCAAUCCCUUUCCUAAAAAAGAACACCGACUUUAUUAUACAAUAUAUAAAUCCUCGCUCAAAUAAACUAACAAAUAAAAAAGUCCAAAUACAAUAGAAUACACGAGAGAAACUGAAUAAAACGAAGAAUUGGAUCCCGAAAAUAUAAAAGGAAGGAAGGAAGGA